CAGUAGCCACGGUAACACGAAGGGGGCUAGCGUUGUUCGGAAUUACUGCGCGUAAAGCGCACGUAGGCGGAUAUUUAAGUCAGGGGUGAAAUCCCGCAGCUCAACUGCGGAACUGCCUUUGAUACUGGGUAUCUUGAGUAUGGAAGAGGUUAGUGGAAUUGCGAGUGUAGAGGUGAAAUUCGUAGAUAUUCGCAGGAACACCAGUGGCGAAGGCGGCUAACUGGUCCAUAACUGACGCUGAGGUGCGAAAGCGUGGGGAGCAAACAGGAUUAGAUACCCCGGUAGUCCCUGUCUCUUAUAA
rnacentral:rRNA from 1 species